UACGGGGGGGGCAAGCGUUGUUCGGAUUUACUGGGCGUAAAGGGCUCGUAGGCGGCCAACUAAGUCAUACGUGAAAUCCCUCGGCUUAACCGGGGAACUGCGUCUGAUACUGGAUGGCUUGAGUUUGGGAGAGGGACGCGGAAUUCCAGGUGUAGCGGUGAAAUGCGUAGAUAUCUGGAGGAACACCGGUGGCGAAGGCGGCGUCCUGGACCAACACUGACACUGAUGAGCGAAAGCCAGGGGAGCAAACGGG
rnacentral:rRNA from 1 species